GACCAGGCGUGGUGUAGUGGUUUGAGCAUUGGACUGGGACUCUGGAAACCAGGGUUCAAAUCCUCGCGUGGCCA